rnacentral:rRNA from 1 species
AGUGAACGCUGGCGGUAGGCCUAACACAUGCAAGUCGAACGGCAGCACAGUAAGAGCUUGCUCUUACGGGUGGCGAGUGGCGGACGGGUGAGGAAUACAUCGGAAUCUACUUUUUCGUGGGGGAUAACGUAGGGAAACUUACGCUAAUACCGCAUACGACCUACGGGUGAAAGCAGGGGAUCUUCGGACCUUGCGCGAUUGAAUGAGCCGAUGUCGGAUUAGCUAGUUGGCGGGGUAAAGGCCCACCAAGGCGACGAUCCGUAGCUGGUCUGAGAGGAUGAUCAGCCACACUGGAACUUGAACACGGUCCAGACUCCUACGGGAGGCAGCAGUGGGGAAUAUUGGACAAUGGGCGCAAGCCUGAUCCAGCCAUACCGCGUGGGUGAAGAAGGCCUUCGGGUUGGAAAGCCCUUUUGUUGGGAAAGAAAAGCAGCAGGUUAAUACCCCGCUGUUCUGACGGUACCCAAAGAAUAAGCACCGGCUAACUUCGUG